CCUGAACGUCCUGUCCUCAGCAUGGUUACUGUGUGCCAGGCACUGUGCUGGGCUCAGAGCAGGAACCAGUGCCCUGUUUCAUGGAGCUCACUCUCACGCCAAUGUGGGAGGCUGUUCAAAUGCCAUGUCAAGUGUGAUGUGGACAACAAGAAGGCCCAGGGCGCUGGGAGAUCUACUGUGGGGUUCAGGGUUGGCCUCCCUGAGGAGGGGACUUUGGAGCAGAGACCUGGAGGAUGAUGGAGUUGGCCAGGGAGGAUGAUGGAGUUGGCAAGGGAGGAUGAUGGAGUUGGCUAGGAAGAGGAAGCUUUGGGUGUCAUGACCUUGAGGAGAGAGGCCAGCAUGUGGGAGGAAGUGGUGCUUGGAGCAACGGCCGGGAAAUAGAAUGUGAGGAUGGGGUUUGAAGAGGGUGGGGGAGCAGAUCAUCCAGGGCCCAUGGGCCACCUUAAGGUAUUUCUGGGGGCCAGGGUUGUGACCAACUGAACUUGGGGUCCUCAAAGCACAAGCCAUUUGAAGAUUGAAAGCAGGUGGCAGCUCCAGGGCCGGGCAGCGGGGCAUACAUAGAUGUGGGGUCGGGGGUUGCAGCCUGGCCAGCCACCUUGGCUGCCAUGGGUCGGGUCGGGUGAUCCUGAAACCCCCAGACCCAGUUGUCCAGGACCCCAGCUGAGAGGAAUCCCAGGUUAUACCGUGCCAUGGGAGGGAGGCUCCCAGCUGGCCAGGGGCCCUUCAGAAAACAGAGGCUGAAGCUUGGAAGGGCAGGUGGAGCAGAGCUGGUGGCAGCAGAGUGGGCUCCGGGCAGCUGGCACUGGGCAGAGCUGCAGAACAGCUGGCCGGGCCCCGCUCAUUCUUAUUUUCUCUGGGCGAGGCAGGUACAGUCUCUGCUCCCAUGACUGGCUUGUCAAGCAGUGGCCUAGUUUCUCUAUGGUAGAAUGGCGAUGGUCUCAGUGCCCACCUCACAGCACUGAGUGAAGGGUCAAUGUCAAUGAGGUGGAGCACGUCACACUACCACAGCACCCGGUGCCCAGGAGGUGCUCAAAAAGCAUCCCCUGUUGCUUCAGACUGGGUCUGCUCUCAGAGCUCAUGGCCUCUUGGGGGAGCCUGCCCUGCCAUGAAUAAACCUGAGACCAGGGUCAGAGAAAGGGAUGCAGGAGCUCAAAGGAGGGAGCAUCACUCUGGCUCAGGCAGACAUAGGGAGAGAAAAGGAGGUGCAGUCAGAGUAGGCUUCCUGGAGGUAGUGUCCUUGAAGCCUAUCCUUGCAGAGUGGAUAGGACUCCCACAGGCAGACAUUGGUGGAGGCAGCACAGGAGAAUGGAAGUGUGAUGCUUGGGGGCCAGUGUGGGCAAGAGGAUUUGUCUGUGUCCAAGUGCCUGGCUCAAGUCUGUGCUUGCUGAAUGCAACAGAGGCCUGGGAUGCUGGGAGGAACCUGAAAGGUCUCUCCUGCUGCCUCACUUUGACCUCCAAAUAGAUUUGACCCUCAUGUUAGAACCAGAAAUGGGAUGAGGUCAGGGGAGUGGAGAAAGUGAGAGGUAUUAGCAGACACAGGCCCCUAUGUCACUGGCAUCCCCCGUGCAGAGGGCUCCCCUUCAAGCCUCGCCCACACUCCAUGGGGAGUGACAGGUGGGCAAUAGCAUGGGGCUGGUUAGAAACCCCAGCCCUCAAGCACCCUUUCCCUGGGGACCAGGACAAAGCCAGGCCCAGGAAGCCAGUGGCCAGCUGUCUCUAUUCACCUGUUGGGGACGUGUCCUGAACUGGUUUGGGGUGGUUUUCUUGGAAAGGCUGUAUUUUGAGGUGGUGGUGGUGGGUUGUUGCCGACCUGGCCUAUCUUUUUGGGACUCUGGGACUGGGUAUCCCUGAAGGUGGUGGUGCUGGGGGCUUAGUCAAUUCCCCCUGCCUGAGGGCAGCCUGCCUGAGGCAGGGCCAGGUGGGACAGGCCUUGGUUGCUAUGCAGUUCCUCACUGGACCUCUUCCUCCUGGUGCAAAGAUGGGGCCUUCACCCCUGGGGUGCCCAAGCUGUCCCCUCACCAGGCUUCCUCCCUCGCAUGCCAGUGCCCUCCAGCUGCGUUCCUCUUGCCGGCCUCUGUUGCCUCCUGGCUCUCCCAGUACACCCUGCCACCUCCUUGCCCACCCUGCAGAGGUACCUGGCUCCCAGGUUGGGGGGAAGAGAGGAUCGGUGGGUGGCAGCACGCAGCCUCAGGCACUCACCAGGAGUGGGGGCUGGGGGUGGGGGGUGCCCAGUUGAUCUGCUCUGGCCUUCCUGACUCGUCUCCUUUCUCCUCGCUCCCUCCCGGGACACCUGGCCUUUUAAGAUUCUUCCUGUCCUGGAGCUGAAUAUGCAUCCCCAAACCUCUGGACUUGGGCCCUAGCUGCAUCCAGGGCCCAACAAACUAAUAAAAACAUCAGUCACUUAGAGAUCGGAUGUUAUGGACCUGGCCUCUUGCUAACAAUUUUACCUGAACUGUCUGGUUUAAUCCUCAACAAUUUUAUCAAUCCUAUUUACAGACAGAAAAUUGAAGCUGAAAGGUCAGUCUGUUCCCUUGCUCCAUGGCUUCCUUUGGAGGCAUACAGACUGUCAAAGACCCUCUCCUCCCCGAGAUUCCUCAGCCACACCCGGCUUCCUCUCUCUCCCAUCCUGUCUCCUCUAAACACGCAAAUUCCCACAGGUUUUCCCCACUCUGCCUGGGCAUUUCCCUGGAGCUUCUCUGGCUCCAGAAAUAUAGACCAGGGAAAGUUGAAGACAGGGACAAUAUCUGACAACCCCAACAUCCAGGCUAUUGUCACACAGCACUGAAGCAAAUGCAGGCUGGAGAGGUCUCCACUGCUCCGCAGACAUCUCAAACCAACACUCCAAGACUGAGCUCACUGUUGUCUCCCAAACCUGCUUCUCCUUCUGGUUUCAUUUUAGCCAAUAACACCAUCCAUCCAUCAGCUGGGCAAGCCACAGCCAGGGAGUCCCCUGGACUUCCACCCCUUCCUCACCUCCCACCUUACUUCCCACAUCUCUAGGUCUGUGCCCUUCUGUCCAUCCCCACGGUCCAAACUACCCCACACUGGAAGCAGUGCCUGGCACGCAGUGGGUGUUCCAUGAACAUGUGUUGAAUGAAUAAAUGCCUAGUUCAGGCUCUGGCCAGCUGCCUCCAGACUCCCUCCCUCCAAGUCUUUCUCUACUCAGUAGCCAGAAACACAUGGAAAAGCUCGAUCUAGUCCUGUCCCGCUCUGCUUCCAAACCUGCAGUGCCCUGCCGCUGAGCGCAGGCUUUUGCUCACACUCACUCUCCAGGCUUGCAAGACCCUGUGUCACUCGCUGGCCCUGCCUGCCUCUGCAGCCUCCCCCAUCCACUGCUUUAUAUGGAUGUCCCACAUAACACUGUUCUUUUUGGCCACCUGCACCAGGCUGAUUCACACUUCUGUCUUUGCACGAGCCAGCCCCCCUGCCUAGAAAGCCUCCCCACCUCUCCCCAUCUGCCUGGUGAGCUCUCCCUGCUGCAGAUGCCCAUUCAAAGGUCACCCUGGCUAAGAGGCCCAACUUGACCGCCCUGUUUGUCUAUUAUAUCACUUCAAGCUCUGCCGUUAUUUAUGGACGCACCGGGCCUCUCGGUGGACAGAGAAAAUCACCAGGCCCCAGGGGCCUUGUCUUACUCAUCCCUGUGUGGAGCUCCCAGCACAUGCCUUGGCACAGAAGGCCGGAGUGAAGGAAGCAUCAGUUGAGCCUGAGGCACCUGGAAGGCCAGAAAAAGUUUGCUGAUUCCUGCUCUACACUACGGAGGCUUAUAAUCUUGCUGUGAAGGGCUCUUUCUCAGAGCAGACAAGAUUAGGCCUCCAUCUGCAGCUCUAAUUUCUCCCUAAAGCUAUCUUCACCUCCCUCCGGCCUGCCCCUCCAGGCUGGAGUGCAGUGGCACGAUCUCUGUCACCCAGGCUGGAGUGCAGUGGCACGAUCUCCACUUACUGCAACCUCUGCCUUCUGGGUUCAAGCAAGUUUUAUGCCUCAGUCUACUGAGUAGCUGCGACUACAGACAUGUACCACCACGCCGGCUAAUUUUUGUACUUUUAGUAGAGAUGGGAUUUCGCCAUGUUGGCCAGGCUGGUCUCGAACUCCUGAACUCAAGUGAUCUGCCUGUCUCGGCCUCCCAAAGUGCUGGGAUUAUAGGCGUGAGCCACUGUGCCGGCAGUGAAGGGGCUUGUUUUGACACUGAGCUUGCCAGCCUCAGCAUGUCUUUACCACACCCCUCCUGCCCACACCCAGCACCCCCUUACAUUCCCUAGUUCACCUAUCGGGGCCUUUCCCUGAGUGAUUGGUUCUGCCAGGCGCCCUGCUCUUGUCCCUGUCCCCUCCUCUGGGACGUCCCUCCUUGACUUCCACGCACAGCAUGGACACAUGGGUGUGCAGAAGUGGAAAGGGGUACUCGGUGUACAGACAUCAUGUGGCAUUUUGCAAGCCAUGAAGCAGGGCCCCACGCCAGUGGGCUGUUGGUCACUGUGGGUCCCACUGUCUGCUGUUGUGUUUGAAAAUAGCCUCUGGCCUUAUGCCUCUCCACCCAAGCACAUAAUGUAUGACGUGGGUUCUUAAAACUUGGAAUCAGUUAAAAUGUAUCUUAUUUUAAACAAAACUAAUCCAUGCUAUUAGAAGUCAGGAAAGCAAUUACCCUAGGGUGGGGCUUCCAGGGUGCUGGGGAUGUUCUGAUUUUUGAUCUGGGUGUUGGUUUCAUCGGUCUUUUCAGUUUAUGAAAAUCCAUCGAACUUUUCUGUGUGUAUAUUACCCUCCAAUAAAAAUGUCAAAACUC